GUUUUUAUAUGGGUAACUAUUACUUUUCGCGGCCUGUUUCUGCUGGCGCAACGUUGGCUAUCUACAGCAAUACACCAUGACGACACACAGUCAAGCCUUUUAAUUGCUGUUGGCAGUCGGCAUUCUCCAUUUUAAAAUAAAAGUCGUGAGAAUGCGGCAAUUCUGUUCCUUGUUUACUACCAAAUAUAAGACAACAUAGAAAGAUCAAAACGUGAACCAUCGUACACCAACAUACUACACUUAAUUUUUCAAGCAUCGAGUUCUGAAACGGAGUGAUUGAUACAAACCGAGUUAUCUUUUUAACACAGCAAAGAUAAGUCUGAUUUGACCCGGAACAAAACUAUCUCCAUGCAAAACAAGAGUCCUCACAACCUUCGGCCGUCCAAGUCUCACAGCAUCAUGUAUUGGCGUGUCUCCCUCGCUGUCUCUGUCGU